ACAAACACACUGACGCUGCAACCUGUCGGGACAGUUUGUUCAUGUUGGAGUUUAUGUAGGGGUUGUAUGGUGUGUGUAGGGGUUGUUAGGUGUGUGUAGGGAUUAUUAAGUGUGUGUAGGGAUUAUUAAGUGUGUGUAAGGAUUGUAUGGUGUGUGUAGGGGUUGAGAGGUGUGUGUAGGGAUUAUUAAGUGUGUGUAGGGGUUGUUAGGUGUGUGUGUGGGGGUUGUAUGGUGUGUGUAGGGAUUAUUAAGUGUGUGUGUAGGGAUUGAUAGGUGUGUGUAGGGAUUAUUAGGUGUGUGUAGGGGUUGUUAGGUGUGUGUGUGGGGGUUGUAUGGUGUGUAGGGAUUAUUAAGUGUGUGUAGGGGUUGUUAAGUGUGUGUAGGGAUUAUUAAAUGUGUGUAGGGAUUAUUAAGUGUGUGUAGGGAUUAUUAAGUGUGUGUGUAGGGGUUGUUAGGUGUGUGUAGGGAUUAUUAAAUGUGUGUAGGGAUUAUUAAGUGUGUGUAGGGAUUAUUAAGUGUGUGUAAGGGUUGAUAGGUGUGUGUAGGGGUUGAUAGGUGUGUGUGUAGGGGUUGAUAAGUGUGUGUGUAGGGGUUGUAUGGUGUGUGUGUGUGUGUGUGUGUGUGU
ensembl:lncRNA